AGCAGCCGCGGUAAUUCCAGCUCCAAUAGCGUAUAUUAAAGUUGUUGCAGUUAAAAAGCUCGUAGUUGAAUUUCGGGAUCAGCGCGUCGGUCGUGCCUCCGGUAUGCACUGGCGCCGCUGGUUUCUCCCUUCUGAGGAACCGUGAUGUCAUUAAUUUGGUGUCGCGGGAAAUCAGGACUGUUACUUUGAAAAAAUUAGAGUGUUUAAAGCGGGCACGCGCUUGAAUACAUUAGCAUGGAAUAACGAAAUAGGACGUUCGAUCUUAUUUUGUUGGUUUCUAGGAUUGACGUAAUGAUUAAUAGGGAUAGUUGGGGGCAUUAGUAUUCAAUUGUCAGAGGUGAAAUUCUUGGAUUUAUUGAAGACUAACUACUGCGAAAGCAUUUGCCAAGGAUGUUUUCAUUAAUCAAGAACGAAAGUUAGGGGAUCGAAGACGAUCAGAUACCGUCGUAGUCUUAACCAUAAACUAUGCCGACUAGGGAUCGGAUGAUGUUAAUUUUAUAAUGACUCAUUCGGCGCCUUACG
rnacentral:rRNA from 1 species